rnacentral:rRNA from 1 species
UACGGAGGGUGCAAGCGUUAUCCGGAUUUACUGGGCGUAAAGGGCGCGUAGGCGGUCGUGACAAGUCACUUGUGAAAUCUCCGGGCUUAACUCGGAACGGUCAAGUGAUACUGUCGGACUAGAGUACAGAAGGGGCAACUGGAAUUCUCGGUGUAGCGGUGAAAUGCGUAGAUAUCGAGAGGAACACCUGCGGCGAAGGCGGGUUGCUGGGCUGAUGAACUGACGGCUGAGGCGCGAAAGCCCAGGGGAGCGAACGGG